rnacentral:rRNA from 1 species
UCCAGACUCCUACGGGAGGCAGCAGUGGGGGAUAUUGCACAAUGGGGGGAACCCUGAUGCAGCGACGCCGCGUGGGUGAAGGAGUGCUUCGGCAUGUAAAGCCCUAUCGGCAGGGAAGAAGCAAGACGGUACCUGACUAAGAAGCCCCGGCUAACUACGUGCCAGCAGCCGCGGUAAUACGUAGGGGGCGAGCGUUAUCCGGAUUCACUGGGUGUAGAGGGAGCGUAGACGGCCAUGCAAGCCAGGGGUGGAAGCCCGGGGGGCAACCCCGGGACUGCCCUUGGAACUGCGUGGCUGGAGUGCGGGGGGGGCAGGCGGAAUUCCUGGUGUAGCGGUGAAAUGCGUAGAUAUCAGGAGGAACACCGGCGGCGAAGGCGGCCUGCUGGGCCGUGACUGACGUUGAGGCUCGAGAGCGUGGGGAGCAAACAGGAUUAGAUACCCCAGUAAU